ensembl:lncRNA
AUUACUAUACCACAGUUUUUUUUUUUUUUUUUUUUUUUUUUUUGUGUUGUGUAAAAAAUACCAAACAUACAGACCCGCUACCCAUUGUCAGACAAUACUUAAAAAACCUCGCUAUUUUUAAUGAAGAAAAAAAAAAAAAAAAAAAAAAUUUAUUGAAAAAACUGAAUUCAUGUAAUAUUAAAAUAAAUGACGAAAUAAAAAAAGAUUUAACUGAAAAAAAAGUAAAAGAUAUUUAUAAAUUUAUAAAUAAAAAUAAAAUUGAAAAUUUAUAUGACAUUUUUAAUGAUUUGUUAAACCUUAUUAAAAAUGUGUUUCAUGUAGAAAAUGUAUAUAUUGGCAAAGUCUACAAAAAGAAAGAAAAAAAUGGAAUCUCAAAAAAUGAAAUCUCAAAAAAAAAAAAAAAAAAAAUCUCAAAAAGGAUAAGACAAAAAAUGUAAAAGAAAAAACAAUCAAACAUGUUCUUAAAUUUAUAUAUACUAGUGAAAAUUGUGAUUUAAAAAAUAAAGUCCUUUCUAACGAAAACGAAAUUAAUAAUAUGUUCUUACAAGUGACUAAAAAUAAGGAAACAGAUUUCCUUUUUCUAAAAACUUAUUUAUUUCAUAAUAUAAUAAAAAAAAAAUUUAUAUAUGAGGAUCUGCAUGAAAAUUUAUUUUUUAAUAUAAACCCAUUUUAUGAAAACAUAAACCAGUUAAAAAAAGUAAAAAAAGAAAUAUACAAUUAUGCAAAAAUGGAGGAAAAAAAAAAAAGUUACUGAAGAUGGUGACGGUGAUGAAGAUGGUAACGGUGAUGAAGAUGGUAACGGUGAUGAANNNNNNNNNNGAUAAGUCUAGUGAUGGUGAUGAUAAGUCUAGUGAUGGUGAUGAUAACUCUAGUGAUGGUGAUGAUAAGUCUAGUGAUGAUGGUGAUAAGUCUAGUGUCGACGAUGAUGAGGUUAGUAACGACGAUAACCAGGAUAACAAAAACAACAACAGUUCUAAUAACAAACAAGAAUCAAAAGAGUUUUCAAAAUUAGAUAAAACAAAAGAUAAUAUACAUAUAAGCGAAGAAGAUAAAUUACAAAAUAAUUUACUUAAAACUUUACUUUUAAAUGCUAAUUAUAAUUUUAUAUAUAUUUAUGAAGUUAUGGAAAAACAUAACUCCUUUUUAUAUACUUAUACAAAACCAGGAGAUUUCAUCUUAAUUCCAAUAGUAUAUGAAACAUAUUACAAUUUAACUUUUUUAAAUGAAAUAUAUGAAUUCGAAAAAAAAAAAAUAGUACAAUCGGACACAGUCAAAAAUGUCAUAGCCUCUUCAGAAUUGUCACCAAAAGAAAAAAACCAAAUAAAUGACGUGUCAAACCUGAAUUUCUCAAAAAACGAACACACUGAUACGAAAGAAAAUGAAAAAGAGGAAAAAGGAAAAGGAGAAAAAGAAAAACUUUCCGAAGAUAUGCAACAGAUAAAAUCCGACUUGCAAGUUCAAAUGUGUUUUUGCAUUGAUAACAGAGGGAGUAUAAAUAAGUUAAAUAAGUUAAAAAUUAAUAUGUUUAUAAUUUUUACUUAUUUUUUAAUUACUCGAAUAUUAAUAUGUGAAAGAACAUGUAUUGAUGAACAGGUAAAAAAAAAAAAAAAAAAAAAAAAAAAAAAUGUAUGCAACAGUUUUUAUUAAACAUGUCAGUAUGUAACAACUCAAUGAUACUCGAAUUCACGGUCACAAAAAUGAAAUUUUUUUUUUUUUUUUUUUUUUUUUUUUUUUCCCCAGGUUUACUAUAUGAUCGAUUGCGAAUACGGAGAAACAAAGGAAAGUAUCGAUAAGUUGACGAAAAAAANNNNNNNNNNUUUUUUUUUAAUGCGUUAAUAGUCAUAUUUUUAUUAAUAAAUAAAUUCUUUUGUAAAAAGGUUUCCCGUGC